GAAGAAAUUUGCUGAUGGAGGCAGAAGGACACUCAGAAUUGAAACUGCUAUAAGAACAUAAGAAAAAGACCCCUGAGACUGGGAAAGAAAGCUUCAAAGAGAUGGUCAUUUAGACCAUUUUUAAAGAAUGAGAGGAAUUGUUGGAGAAGAUUGGCAUGGGAGAAGAGAAUUGAAGCAGAGGGAACAGCAUGUACAAAGGUACAAAGAUGUGAAACAGAAUGACCCGCUGGAGGAACUACAUCCUACUGACUAGAAUAUAGUGUCCAUGUGGGCCUGUGGCACAAGGAGAGAUAGGAACCCAAACCCGGUUGGAAAGUACAAUCUGGGAGGCAGCUGCGGGGUGUGGAGGAGCCUCAGGUUAUUCUCCACUAUCUACAGC
rnacentral:lncRNA from 1 species